GACGAACGCUGGCGGCGUGCUUAACACAUGCAAGUCGAACGGAAAGGCCCUGCUUUUGUGGGGUGCUCGAGUGGCGAACGGGUGAGUAACACGUGAGUAACCUGCCCUUGACUUUGGGAUAACUUCAGGAAACUGGGGCUAAUACCGGAUAGGAGCUCCUGCUGCAUGGUGGGGGUUGGAAAGUUUCGGCGGUUGGGGAUGGACUCGCGGGUUAUCAGCUUGUUGGUGGGGUAGUGGCUUACCAAGGCUUUGACGGGUAGCCGGCCUGAGAGGGUGACCGGCCACAUUGGGACUGAGAUACGGCCCAGACUCCUACGGGAGGCAGCAGUGGGGAAUAUUGCACAAUGGGCGGAAGCCUGAUGCAGCAACGCCGCGUGCGGGAAGACGGCCUUCGGGUUGUAAACCGCUUUCGCCUGUGACGAAGCGUGAGUGACGGUAAUGGGUAAAGAAGCACCGGCUAACUACGUG
rnacentral:rRNA from 1 species